UGCUGAGUAAUUACAAUUGACUACAACCACCAAUAUAUUCUGCUGCACUAUAUCUAUAUAUGCAAAGCUAAUUCUGCUGGGAAGUGACAAGAAACAAUGUAAUGUGGAACCGUACAGCAGAAGGGAUUGCGGCUACCCCACAAUAAGUGCAGCGGAAUGUAAGAAGAGGAAUUGUUGCUUUGACUGCAGCAUUCCCGGGGUUAACUGGUGUUUCUUCAAGUCACAAGAACCACUAUUUGUCUGAUCAGUUAUUUAAUAUUGGAACCAGUAGAUAUAAGGUGGAUUUUAUAUGUUAAUUAAACACUUUUAAUUGACUGUAAAGAAGUCUACGCCAGCUUAUCUCUGAUUACGGACAUUGGAAUAGAAGUAUACUGAAGAGAGAUGAGCGUUGUGCGGCAAGUUGUCAUGACAACGGACUCCAAGACGACGUAACCGGAAGUGACGUAUCGCUAGACCUAGCGACUACGAGAAAAAGAUCUAGGACUCCGGAGGCGGAAGUGACGGAGUGGGAGUUCAGGUUGCUAUGGUAACCCGGCGGUUUCCGAACAUGACGCCAGGUGGAAUCAAUUUGGAAUCUGGCUGUGAUUUGCUAUUUAAAUCUGGAUGUGUGGUGCAGUGAGUAUUCAGCCUCGAAAAAGACUCCAGGAAUAGGAGUUGAAACGCGUCGGCGUAUUCCAUCUGUGACUGGCAUUUACGGUGGUCUGCACUUCUAAGAACCAGAGGACUUUCCAGCUCCAGCCCGGGCGGUUUUGGGAUUUAAAAGAACUUGUUUGAGAACUUUUUUGGGUUCUCAAACCCUCUGGUAAUUGCUCUGCAUAUCUCUUUGUGGCUGUCACAUUUUGGAGAAUCAUUCUGCACAUUUUUACCCUACCUGUUUAUUGUGUUAUGUCCAUGUUCCCCGA